AUGGCACCCUAUAGCAGAGCACCACGGCGACCCUCACCUGCGCCUCCCCGAGCAGGAACUCCGCCUCCCCUGCACCCGUGCUUCGCUGACCGGAGGCGUCGUCCUCGACCGUCGCCAGCACCGCUGCCCCGCCUGCGUCCUCGACCUCCUCCUGCCACGCGCUGUCAAGUUUCGGGAGCUGCUUCUGUUUUUCUUUUGCUGUUGCGUCUCCGUCCGUCUGCAGGCGACCGCGCCCGGUGUCUGCGAUGCCUGCUGCUGUCGCUGGACGCCAAGACCACCGCGACACCUGAACUUCGUGUCGUUGUUCACUGCCCGCCUCCAGUCGUUUUCUCCAAGUACCACAAGUUCUGGAUGGAUGCGCCAAGUCCCCAGCGAGACCCGUUUUCCGUCAAGUUCGACUACACGGCUAUGACCUCGGAGUUGGACUGCAAGCGUCAAGUACCCCACCGGCAAGACCACACGGACGCUCAAACGGCUACAGACCGAAACGUGAAGUACCUCGUCGAUACGUGUACGACUACCAUCGCCGAAGACCGCGAGUACAACUACUUCCACAUCGCGCCGUGUACGACUACCAUCGCUUGGGUUCGACAAGACACCGAGUACCACUAUGUUAGCCAUGUACAUAAUACACCAAGACCGGACCGGCAAGUACCCCGACGACCUUGUACCACUACCGUCGCGAGUAUCUCUACCGUCAUCAUGUACCUCUACUUCCACUACCGCUCCGAUGAUCGCCGAUGA
rnacentral:rRNA from 1 species